ensembl:lncRNA LINC01484 long intergenic non-protein coding RNA 1484
UUCUUGGAGGCUGAAAGAACACAUGGAGAGCAGUGUUUUUCCAGCUUCUGUGUUGGUAAGAGCCUGGAGUCUCUCUCUCUGUCUCUCUCUCUCUCUCUCUCUCUCUCUCUAUCACACACACACACACACACACACACACACACACACAGAGCAAUCACUGCACCCAGCCACCUCUAUAUACAUGUACACAAAGCCACACAGUUUACACAGUCACAGGUAUUUAAGUACACACUAUUCACACACAAAUACAUAUAUAGACACACAUGUACAGUCCGUCCAAAAUAUAUGUACAUAAAAGCACACUAUUACACCUUCAUAUGUGCACACACACACACACCCAGACUCACUUCAUACACACAUAGAUACAACAGCCACAGCUCCCCAUCACCUACACACACACACACACACCUGGACACCCAGCUCUAAUAUAAUCAGAUAGAGAUAUGCAUGCAGACAAAUUUGCCUGUAUAGUCAAACACAUAGGCAAAUAGAGAACGAGACACCACAUGAACAAAGGCAAACCUACACACAAAGACACAGAGCACACUUACGCAUAUAUCUAUAGACCCACCAUGGCACAUAUGGGUAAGUGCACACAGGCAAACUCACACACACGAGCAUGCACAGGCAGAGAACACAAAUGUACACUCCCAGGUGUCAUAAAGAACAGCCCAGCUUCGGCUUGGGAACGUCACAUCAGACAAUAGGAACGGCUGCACCGCGCGUUUCCUCGGCUGCCAGCUUCCCAGCCACAGAGGAUGCCUCACCUGCUAUGUCAGCUCCCCUCUGCCCCACCUCACAAGAAGCUCAGAAGCUGAGGAGUCACAGAGAGACCUCCCUACUGUGUCAGAGGAAUAGGUCCUUCUGUCACGGGGCACAGGACCCUUGACCGCAAAAUGACGUGAGUUACCACUGACUAUUUUCUGGGUCUUGAUCUUGUGACUCCAAAUGGAUGGUAAGCUCCUUAAGGGAAAGUCUAUGAUAUUCAUCCAACCACCCAUCCAUCCUUUCAUCCACCCAACCAUCCAUCCAUCUGACCAUCAUCCAUCCAUCCAUCCAUCCAUCUAUCCAUCUUCUAUCCAUCUGUCUACUCACCCAUCCACCCAUCCAUUCAAUUAUUCAUCCAUCCCUCUUCCAUCCAUUCACCCAUCUUCCAUCCAUCUGUCCACCCAUCCAUUCCACCAUUUAUCCAUCCAACCACCAUCUAUUCAUCCAACCACUCGUCUAUUCAUCCCUCUGACCAUCCAACCAUCCAUCGAUUUGUUCAAUUAUUUUAUCAAGCAUCUACACUGCACCACACACCCUAAUGGGUGUUGGGGAGAAAAUGGAGAGUAAAAUCAGAUGGGACCUCUGACCUCAGUGCGGCUGACCAUCAGUCCGGUAGAGGAGACACGUAAACUGACAAUUAUAAAUAAACACAAUGUGUCAACUCUGACAAGUGCUGUGAGGGAGAAAUCAGCAGUACUGAGAAAGCCUUUAUGGUCCUGGUGUGAGAGGUGGGAUGAGCCCAACACAGCAACAACAGCAAGACCAUGGGGGAGUGUGGUGCAGAUGGGCAGGUGUACAGAGCAUGCAGGCCAUGUCUGCCAGCCCUCUCUUUGUGCAUUAGCAACAGUAAAACGGGGCUUGUGUUUGGGCAGAUUAUACCACUGGUCUUGCAUCCCAAAUGUCUCUUUGUUCACUCGUUUAUACAAACAUGCUCAAUAAUAUUUAUGCAUUUUUACUGUGACAUCAUUUUCUUAUAUAAUAAAAGUGCCUAUUUAUAUACCGUAUAUGUAUAUAUAUAAUACACAGAUGCACACACACAAGCACACAUGCACAGAGCUUCUUGACAGUCAGUCCCUCAUAAGGUAGUCCACUGAAGUGCAGUCAUCACCAUCCUCAGACCUCAUGAUUAUAUAACUAGAGCACCUUAUAUUUUUAUAUUUUAUUAUGUAUUUAAUAAUCACAUAACUCUUUAGUGAAUGCCAAUUAAUUAGGAGAAUGACAUGCCUUCUCUCUGCUCCUCAUAAUAUCCCCCUUAGAUAGGUUUUAUCUCCCCACUUACAAGAUGUGGAGACUGGGCCGGGCACGGUGACUCACGCCUGUAAUCCCAGCACUUUGGGAGGAUGAGGCGGGUGGAUCACAUGAGAUCAGGAGUUUGAGACCAUCCUGGCCAACAUGACAAAACCGUCUCCUCUAAAAAUACCAAAAUUAGCUGGGACUGGUGGCACGUUCCUUUAAUCCCAGCUACUCGGGAGGUUGAGGCAGGAGAAUUGCUUGAACCCAGGAGGCAGAGGUUGUAGUGAGCCAAGAUCGUGCCACUGCACUCCAGCCUUGGUGACAGAGCAAGACUCUGUCUCAAAAAACAAACAAACACAC